rnacentral:lncRNA from 1 species
UUUCAUUUGUGUUGCUGAAUUUCGAAGAGUGAUGGUGGGAGUGUGUGUGGUGGGGGCAGUAUCAACCUCAUCCUUCCCUUGACCGAGACCUUUCACUGCUCCUGGACUUUCAGGGUGUGCUAUCCUUUGCCUCCCCCCAACAACCUGUCUGCUGCCCUAAAAAAAAAAUUAAAAAAAAAAAAGACGGCAACCUAACCGGAGCAUCUCUGGGACGCCACAGAAAUCGUAACUGAACACCCGCACACAAAAGUAAUCUGUGAGGUGUGUUUUAAAGAAAGAAACAGCUGAAAACUUGAAGACGUGUUUAGAAAUAUACAUAUAUACACACUAUUUUCUUGUGGGAGAUCUCCUUUGGGCAAAGGUAUACAAAUGCUCUCAGUCCAGCCAGACACCAAGCCGAAAGGUUGUGCUGGCUGCAACCGAAAGAUCAAGGACCGGUAUCUUCUAAAGGCACUGGACAAAUACUGGCAUGAAGACUGCCUGAAGUGUGCCUGCUGUGACUGUCGCUUGGGAGAGGCUCUUUGGUGUAACGGGAAACUGCGCUGCCUG